rnacentral:lncRNA from 1 species
AGAAUCUUGUGCUGAAAUGAUGGAUCAGUAGGUAAAGCCCUUAUGCUUAGAUUUGUUUUCUUUUGUUGUCAUUAAAUACCCUGAUGGAAGUAACUUAUGGGUAAAAGUAUUUAUUUGAAUCACAGUCUCAGGUUAUGGUCCAUUACUAUGGGGAAUUCAUGACAGCAGGGACUUGAAGAAGUUAGUCACAGCAUACCCACAGUAAAAAACAGAAAACAAUGUAUUAAUGUGUGUGUGUGUGUGUGUGUGUGUGUGUGUGUGUGUGUGUGUGUGUGUGUGUUGGUGUCCCUGGUUGUGGGUGAACCUUCCCAUAUCAGUCAAUGUAAUGAAGACACAGAUAAGUCUUCAGGCCAUCCUAAUCUAGAAGACCAUUCAUUGAGAUUACUACUUGUUGACUACUAAAAUGAAUCAUCACACUGUAAACAUGAGAACUGGAGUUUUAACCUCUACAGCUCACAACUCACAUGAAAGUUAGGUGCAAUGGCAUGUGCCUGCAAUCCUAGAGCUUCUACAGUGAAUUUGAGACAAGAGGCAGGAGAAGCUCACAUCAGGCCAGAGAACCUGAUUAACAGGUUAACUGCAGGAGGCAAUGUCUCAAACAAGUUAGAAAUUUUGAAGUGACAGCAGAUAUUGUCCUCUGAUGUUCACACAUGUACCAUGUGCUCUAUGGCAUACAAAUACCUUACUAAUAUACAAUAACACACACACAAAUAUAUAUAUAUAUAUAUAUAUAUAUAUAUAUAUAUAUAUAUAUAUACACACACACACACACACACACAUACAGACACACACACACACACACACACACACACACACACACACACACACACACAUACACAUUCAAUGUUUUAUCACUGGUUCUCCCAGCUGAGGUAUUGAGUAUAUCCUAGGAAAUAUAGGAAACCCCUCCUCCAAAAUAAGUGUACACAGGCCUCUCCUCGUAAACAUUAAUUUUUCUCAUAGUCCUGAUAGGAAAAUUUCCUGCUGUUUUCUUGUCACUCCUCAUGUGAGCCCACUGCUUCUUUUACAAAUCUAGAUAUUUAUCUGGAUUUAGUUAUUUCUUGUUUUCAGUGAUGGCAAAAUAUUUUUCUUUAGUUGUCUUGCUGGUCAAUUUGAACAUUUACAUCUAUUUUACUUUAGAUGGGCAUAGAUAUAGGAUGCUGUUACAUGUCUCCAAACCACCAUUUCUUUAAUGUUUUGAGAAUAAAACAUGUUCUGUUCAGAUGUCCAUCUUGGUGAUGACACAAAUUAGAAUGAUGCACUACUUUUUUUUUAAUAUUUCUAUUCUUAUUAAUUUAUGUGCAUCUAUCUGUAUCUAUGUUCCAUGGACAAAUGCAUAAACAUGCCUGAAGAGAUUAGGAAAAAGUGUUCAAUUCCCUAGAGUUAGAGUUACAGGCAUUUGUGAGUUGCCUGAUUUUAGUGAUAGGAUGAAAUCUUGGGUCUCCUGCAAGAAAAAUAAGUUGUAUGUACUAGUGGUCCUUCUCUCUCUAACUCUGGCAGCUAAUUCUCUUUUUUCCAGAUUUCCAUAGAUUGUUUAUUCAUAAUGAAAAUAUGAAUUUAAAACUGAUUAAUUUUAAUCUUUUAAAAAGGAAGACAGGCAGUAUAAGGAAUUGGUUACGUCAAAGAUUUCUCCUGUUCUGUUACAGGCUCCCUUGUACUUAGCCAAGUACAGUUUUUAUUUGUUUGUUUCUGAUUUUUUGUUUGUUAGUUUGUUCUUUAACUUUUAAGAGAGUUUAUGUUGUUAAUUUUUUCAUAUAUUUAAUUUUUAAGAUAAUUGGAGUCUUACUCCUUAUUUUUCCGGGGAUGGAUACUCUCUUUUGGCCAUUAAAAUAAAUUUUAGUUAAGUCAUUUGGUUUCUUAUGUCUUUUGUUUAGCACAAAGCAGGACUUUCACUACACAAAGAGUACAUUGAAUAUUUGUGUGUAAUACAACUGACCUCCUACUCUAAGUUCAUGACUUGUGCUUUUAGUCAUUUUUAAAAAAUCUUUAAUAUUUCCUUACAACCCAGUCACUAUUGCCCUCCUAUUCCACUCUCCAACAGUUCACAUUCCAUUCCUCCUCCACUGUCUCCAAGAGGAUGACCCAACCCCCCCCCACACACACACCUUGCUAGGCCUCCCCACUCCCUGGGGCCUCAAGUCUCUCAAGGGUUAGGAGCUUCUCCUCUCUCGGAGGCCAGACCAGACAGUCCUCCCCUCUAUAUGUGUCAGGGGCCUGGAAACAGCCAUUGUAUGAUGACUGGUUGAUGGCUCAGUGUCAGAGAGAUCUUGGGGAUCCAGAUUCCUUGAGAUAGCUGGUCUUCCCUUGCAGUUACCCUUCUCAACCUCUUCCAGUCGGUCCCUCAAUUCAAUUACAGGGGUCCCCUACUUCAGACCAUUGGUUGUGUGCAAGUAUCUGCCUCUGUCUCAGUAAACUGCUUAUUGGGUCUCUAGGAUGAGAGCCAUGCUAGGCUCCUGCCUGAAAGCAUACCAUAGCAUCAGUAAUAAUGUCAGACCCUGGAACCUUCCCUGAGGUGGGGCCAUAUUUUGGCCAGUCACUGGACUUUCUUCUCACCCUAUUCCCCAUUCUCCUCUCUAUUUUUGUUCCAGUAGUUCUCUGAGACAGGAACAACCCCAGAUCAGAAUUUCUGACUGUAGGAUAAUUCUUGAGAAAAAAAAAUAUGUGAUGGAUGAGGAAAUGGCUAAGGAAGUGAGGUAGUUGCCAUGCCUAUUUAAUUUUGGUUUUUGGUCAGAUCCUCCAGAACCAUGGAAAUACGUGUCCUGUAAUUUCAGCAUCCCCAUGAGUAGAAAAAGGGAGGAAAAAGAGACAUCUUGAACUUUUGGUGUAUGCAGUGGUAUAUGCAGUGGUGAAUAAGAGAACCUAUAUCAAACAGUCAAUACCUGAAGCUGUCCUCUGUCCUCUGUGUGUACACCGUGGCAUGUGUUUGGGUGCCAACUUGUUUCUUUCUGUGUACUUCCUGUCUGUUCCUCUCCCACAUAUCCAAGUUCCAUACAUAUGAAUAUAUUAUAUUGUAUUAGUAUAGUAAAUAUUUCCAAAUAAAAUAAACUUUGCACUCUUCC